AAAAAAAUUAAAAAAAGGUCAAAAGAGAAAGUGAAACUGUUUCAAACUCAAACGUCGUUUUGAAGACGGAGGACAAAGAGGAUGCAGUAAAAAAGGAAUAAAACUGGAUACAAUAACGGAACUGUACUGCAUGAAAAUCCCAGGAAGGCAGCUGUUUCUGUGAUGCUGGAACCACCACAUCUGGCACCAUCCAUCUGGCACAGUCAAAGUCGCUUAGAUCACACAUCUUGCCCAUUCUAAUAGUGUUCAGUGUGUGCUCAUGUUGUGUGUUUGCAGGCUAA